rnacentral:rRNA from 1 species
AUUGAACGCUGGCGGCAUGCCUUACACACGCAAGUCGAACGGCAGCACGGGAGCAAUCCUGGUGGCGAGUGGCGAACGGGUGAGUAAAGUAUCGGAACGUGCCCAGUCGUGGGGGAUAACGUAGCGAAAGUUACGCUAAUACCGCAUACGAUCUAUGGAUGAAAGCGGGGGAUCGCAAGACCUCGCGCGAUUGGAGCGGCCGAUAUCAGAUUAGGUAGUUGGUGGGGUAAAGGCUCACCAAGCCGACGAUCUGUAGCUGGUCUGAGAGGACGACCAGCCACACUGGGACUGAGACACGGCCCAGACUCCUACGGGAGGCAGCAGUGGGGAAUUUUGGACAAUGGGCGAAAGCCUGAUCCAGCCAUGCCGCGUGCAGGAUGAAGGCCUUCGGGUUGUAAACUGCUUUUGUACGGAACGAAAAGGUUUGGGCUAAUAAGCUGAGCUCAUGACGGUACCGUAAGAAUAAGCACCGGCUAACUACGUGCCAGCCGCCGCAGUAAUAC